AGUAAAUUCAUUUUAUUUAGGUCUAUUAGAUCUUGAAUACAAUUAGAAGUACAAAAAACAUUUUUGACAUAUUUCCUAUUAAGUAUGUAAUUGUGACACCGUAUUAAGUGAUUGUAUUACAAUAUUAUAUUAUGUUGUCUUAUAUAUAAUAUUUUAUUGAAUCUAUAAUUAAUGAUGUUUUAUUAACUACAAAUAAAUGAUACCUAAUAAUACAGGACAAAUCAAAAACAGCUUCUUGUUUUGAAGUCUGUUAACAUCUGAACACGUUUUGCUUGACACAUUUUGGAGAUUUUGCCCCAGGCGCAAUAGUUGUUUGCUAUUUUUAGAUGUCGAGGCAUUAAUAUUAAACAAAGUAAUAAAACAUUUUUACAAUAA